UACGAAGGAUGCAAGCGUUGUUCGGAUUUACUGGGCGUACAGGGAGCGUAGGCGGUUGGGUAAGCCCUCCGUGAAAUCUCCGGGCCUAACCCGGAAAGUGCGGAGGGGACUGCUCAGCUAGAGGAUGGGAGAGGAGCGCGGAAUUCCCGGUGUAGCGGUCAAAUGCGUAGAGAUCGGGAGGAAGGCCGGUGGCGAAGGCGGCGCUCUGGAACAUUUCUGACGCUGAGGCUCGAAAGCGUGGGGAGCAAACCGG
rnacentral:rRNA from 1 species